UACGUAGGGUGCGAGCGUUAAUCGGAAUUACUGGGCGUAAAGCGUGCGCAGGCGGUUAUGUAAGACAGGUGUGAAAUCCCCGGGCUUAACCUGGGAACUGCAUUUGUGACUGCAUAGCUAGAGUACGGUAGAGGGGGAUGGAAUUCCGCGUGUAGCAGUGAAAUGCGUAGAUAUGCGGAGGAACACCGGUGGCGAAGGCGGGUCUCUGGGCGA
rnacentral:rRNA from 1 species